AGGGGUAUAGCUCAGUUGGUAGAGCGGCGGUCUCCAAAACCGCAGGCCGCAGGUUCGAGCCCUGCUGCCCCUGCCA
rnacentral:tRNA from 3 species